GGCGGCGCGGCGGAACUGGGGCGCCCCAGGACGCGCCGGCGGCGGAGGGACGCGCAGGCCGCCGGGGAAAAGAGCGGGCCGCCGCCGCCGCCGAGGAAGAAGAAGAAUUCUGUCAAUAUAACUCAUUCCUGUACUGGAGAGCACCACUGCCUGCUAUUGAUUUGUCUGAUAUUCAGAACCUAGAUGAAGAGACUCCAUCGGGUGCUAAAACUGCUGCAAGGACUGAUACCGCAGAGACCGAAAUGGAAACCUGAUCAGUUGUUUCAUAGCUGUGCAUCUGUUCCCAGAGAACUUGUUUCCGUUGAGAUUCGGGUUUCGUUCCUUGGGUGAAUAAUAAGCAUGCUUAUGCAGUCUUGGAAAGACUGUUGUGGCAGUCUUUGAAAGCAAAUCUGAGUUGCCUUAGUGGAUGGGAUAAAUGAUAUUGGGUAUGUAACAGGAAGCUGUCUGAAGGUGUGCAGUAAGGAGGAGCCAGCAGUGUCUAACAAGAGUACUUGAAGACAUGGAGGCAUACUAAAAGAAGAAUUUAGAAAAUUAGAACUUCGGGAUGCAAUUAAAGGAAAUGGGGAUCUAUUACAUGUCAAAAGGAAAUGUAGAAUUAUUUUGUCUGUCCUGAAGAAAAAAAUGUGUGGUACCUGAAAUAUUUAACGUGAAUUUUUCAUAAAGCACACAAACUCUAUGAUUCCUAAUGUGUUGGGGUUUUUUUUCUGUAUAAUAGCUAAACCAAAAAAGUCCAUCAAAAUCGGACAAAACAUUCCCUUUUCUAUGCAAACCAAAAACCAAGUGUGGCAGAGAAGAGGAAGGAAAAGGGGCUACUUUCUGCUGAAAGCUGCUGCUGUUCUGAAAGGUUUCACAUUUUCAUUGUGAAAAAGUUUUUUCACCUUCUCUUUUUCACAUUACAGACAGCAGUGGGCACCCAUUUUUUUAUGUUUUUGGUUCAUUCUAAAGUUACUGCUAUUCUUAGUCUUUGUGAUGUUGCUCUGAACCAGUUGAUAGGAUCUGAAUGACAGGUUUGGGCAGAUAUGUCAAGAAAAGUUAGUGCAAUAUAAAAUGACCACACACACUCUUUCAAACUAUAGUGAAUGAGGUGUAGUUUUUGCAGAGACUGUGAAUCUUGCAGAAAGUUUUUGCAGAAGUUCAUUCAUAUAGUGUUUUUUUGCUGUGAAAUAUGAACUUAAUGUUUGUGAUUUGCAAUUUAUUUACAAAUUGAAGUACAAUUAGAUGUCUUUAAUAAUAGACUGAAGUUGUAUGGAAGGACUUACAUUUUGGAAUACAACGUGUCUUUAAGGAUAGAAAACAUAUUUUUUCUGUAAUCACUAUGGAAAAAGGCAACUUUUGAAUUUUAUUUUUUUCUAAUAAUGUGUUUGUUAAAGGACAAUAAAGUUUUGCCUGUGUGUAUGUGAA